GCCUGGGUGGCUCAAUCUGUUAAGCAUCUGACUUUGGCUCAGGUCAUGAUAUCACAGUUCAUGGGUUAGAGCCCUGCCUCAGGCU
rnacentral:tRNA from 1 species